GACGAACGCUGGCGGCGUGCCUAAUACAUGCAAGUUGAGCGCUGAAGGUUGGUACUUGUACCGACUGUAUGAGCAGCGGACGGGUGAGUAACGCGUGGGGAAUCUGCCUUUGAGCGGGGGACAACAUCUGGAAACGAAUGCUAAUACCGCAUAACAACUUUAAACACAAGUUUUAAGAUUGAAAGAUGCAAUUGCAUCACUCAAAGAUGAUCCCGCGUUGUAUUAGCUAGUUGGUGAGGUAAAGGCCCAACAAGGCGAUGAUACAUAGCCCACCUGAGAGGGUGAACGGCCACAUUGGGAAUGGGACACGGCCCAAACCCCUACGGGGGGCAGCAGGAGGGAAUCUUCGGCAAUGGACGAAAGUCUGACCGGGCAACGCCGCGUGAGUGAAGAAGGUUUUCGGAUCGUAAAACUCUGUUGGUAGAGAAGAAAGUUGGUGGGAGUGGAAAGCUCAUCAAGUGACGGUAACUACCCAGAAAGGGACGGCUAACUACGUG
rnacentral:rRNA from 1 species